rnacentral:rRNA from 1 species
CAGUUCGGAUCGCAGCCUGCAACCCGGCUGCGUGAAGCUGGAAUCGCUAGUAAUCGCGGAUCAGAAUGCCGCGGUGAAUACCGUUCCCGGGUCUUGUACACACCGCCCGUCACACCAUGGGAGCCGGAAACGCCCGAAGCCAGUGGCCUGACCGCGAGGAGGGAGCUGUCGAAGGCGGGUCCGGUGACCGGGGUGAAGUCGUAACAAGGUACC